rnacentral:rRNA from 1 species
CACGUGGGUAACCUGCCCAUAAGAGGGGGAUAACAUCCGGAAACGGGUGCUAAUACCGCAUAGUUUUCUUGAUCGCAUGAUUGAGAAAGGAAAGACGGCCUUUGUGCUGUCGCUUAUGGAUGGACCCGCGGCGUAUUAGUUAGUUGGUGAGGUAAUGGCUCACCAAGACGAUGAUACGUAGCCGACCUGAGAGGGUGAUCGGCCACAUUGGGACUGAGACACGGCCCAAACUCCUACGGGAGGCAGCAGUAGGGAAUCUUCCGCAAUGGACGAAAGUCUGACGGAGCAACGCCGCGUGAGUGAAGAAGGUUUUCGGAUCGUAAAACUCUGUUGUCAGAGAAGAACAAGUUGGAGAGUAACUGCUCCAGCCUUGACGGUAUCUGACCAGAAAGCCACGGCUAACUACGUG